GAUGAACGCUGACAGAAUGCUUAACACAUGCAAGUCAACUGAGGCGGACGGGCGAGAAACGCGUAAAGAACUUGCCUUACAGUGCGGGACAACAUUGGGAAAAGAAAGCUAAUACCUGAUACUGUGUGAGAGCUUUGCGUCCCAUUAGCUCGUUGGAGAGGUAACUGCUCACCAAGGCGAUGAUGGGUAGCCGGCCUGAGAGGGUGAUCGGCAACAAGGGGUCUGAGACACGGCCCUUACUCCUACGGGAGGCAGCAGUGGUGAAUAUUGGACCAUGGAACAAGGUCUGAUCCAGCAAUUCUGUGUGCACGAUGAAGUUUUCGGAAUGUAAAGUGCUUUCAGUUGGGGAGCGGUACCAACAGAGGAAGUGACGGCUAAAUACGUGCCAGCAGCCGCGGUAAUUC
rnacentral:rRNA from 1 species